rnacentral:sRNA from 1 species
GUUUCCACUCACACGGUAGGCGGCUGUGCGAUUUCGUCUGGAGUCCCCGGACCCCUCCUCAUCCUUCCCAGGGUUGCUCUGAGGCCUUUCCUCGUCAUCUAGGAGGGGUCUACAUAAAAGCAUUUAUAAACAGCUCCAAAUGGGAGCCUGGCGCGCCCACCUUUGGAGCACUUUUCUCUACUGCAGAUUUAUCUACUGCUUGUGAAAUCUCUGGAUUUAACUCUGAUGAAAGACCGGAGGCUGAAGGAGAACUUCACUAUCAUAUAUUUUAAAGGUUGACUCACAGUUUGGAGCACGAAUUAAAGAACCACGAACUUCAAGGUAAAACGGGCAACGGCGUUGGGGCAAGCCUCUCUGCAUCUGCGUGUCCAGCCUCUCCUGCGUGCCAGAAGUCCCCAGGCAGGAGUGUGGUGGGACAUCCGGCUGGGGUAAGGACAGGCACCCUCCCACUGUGUCAGGGCCGAGAGAGUGGGUGGAGAAGCUCUGCAAGAGACCUGUGCAAGGGCGCCUUGUAGGAGCCUGCAGUCCCCACAGGGGUGUUUGUGGAUAACACCUGGGGAGCCCUGGCCUUUUGGGGUCACGGAGGGCUUGGCCUCUCACCUCAGAGCUGCGGAGGAGCCGCUUCUACAUCAGGACAUCAGAAGCUGGAACGGGGAUGGCCGGCGAGGGGCCUCUUGUUGGGGUCACAGAGAUGGGUCGCAGAGAUGGCCCGUGUGGAAGGUUGGAUUCUCACCCCACCUCUGCCCCUAGAUGUCCUGGUGACCCUCCCCUCUGUAGUCUUGGUUUUUUGCAAAACAGUUAUGACCUCCUGCCAUACUGGGUACUUUGCUUAUGUGUUGUGUUUACUCUUUACUGUGUGUCUCUCCUGCUAAGGUCUACGAAGAAGGGUCUUUGUGGGUGGGGUUCUUAGAGGCAUCCCAAGUACCAGAAGCAGUCCCUGGACUAAGGGGCUCAAGAAAUUUUUUAUUUAUUAUUUUUUCUUUUUGAGAUGGAGUCUCGCUCUCUUGCCCAGGCUGGAGUACAGUGGCAGAAUCUUGGCUCACUGCAGCCUCCCGGGUUCAAGUGAUUUCCGGCUAAUUUUUGUAUUUUUAGUAGAGACGGGGUUUCACCAUGUUGGCCAGGCUGGUCACGAACUCCUGACCUCAAGUGAUCCGCCUGCCUCAGCCUCCCAACGUGCUGGGAUUAUAGACAUGAGCCACCAUGCCUGGCCAAAUAUUUGUCAAAUUAAAUUUGUAUUUUCAUACAAAUUUUAGUCUGGAUGAAGUGCUUCAUGCCUGUAAUCCAAGCACUUUGAGAGGCUGAGGUGGGUGGAUGGCUUGAGCCCAGGAGUUUGAGACCAGCCUGGAAAACAUAGGGAAACCCUGUCUCAAUAUAAGAAGAAGAAGAAAAAGAAAAAAAAAA